rnacentral:lncRNA from 1 species
GCAGCAAAGUGGCUGGAGGCAUGAGGAUGUUGAUAUACUUGAAGACUCAAGAUACUGAAACCAACCUAGACACUGAGCCUGGGACCUGCUCAUGUCUGGUGCUCAUGUCUCAUGCUUCUGGAGACACCAGCCUGCAAGCAGAUCCCAACCCACCAACGCAGAAACUGGCUCUUUGUUACCUAGAUUCAACACGGAUGACACUGGCUUUCCUAGCCGGGUGGUGGCACACACCUUUCCCAGCACUUGGGAGGCAGAAGCAGACGGAUCUCUGUGAGGUGCGGACCAGCCUGAUCUACAGAGUGAGUUCUAGGAAAGCCAAGGCUACACAGAGAAAUCCUGUCUCAACAAACAAACACCCACCAAAAAGUGCUGGGAUGAUUGUGUGUCACUCCACAGUUUGAUAGCCAUGGCACACAUGGAUCUGCUUUCUGAAGGUCUACCAACAUUCCAGUUAGUCACCAUCUUCUCUUACUCCUCAUGACCAUUAUGGUUACUGAGAAAUGAAGCAAGACUUACGGCUCGCCGUCCAACUGGGAAACUUCCAAAGCAGGUUCCAAGAACGCAGUUGUGUUGGCUUCUCUGUUGCCAUGGACCUCGGCUGGCACUGGCUCCUCUCAGAGGCAAAGGCCAC